rnacentral:rRNA from 1 species
GACGAACGCUGGCGGCGUGCUUAACACAUGCAAGUCGAACGGAAAGGCCCCUUUGGGGGUACUCGAGUGGCGAACGGGUGAGUAACACGUGAGUAACCUGCCCUUGACUUCGGGAUAACUUCAGGCAACUGGGGCUAAUACCGGAUAGGAAUCCUUGCUGCAUGGUGGGGGUUGGAAAGCUUCGGCGGUUUUGGAUGGACUCGCGGCUUAUCAGCUUGUUGGUGGGGUAGUGGCUUACCAAGGCUUUGACGGGUAGCCGGCCUGAGAGGGCGACCGGCCACAAUGGGACUGAGAUACGGCCCAGACUCCUACGGGAGGCAGCAGUGGGGAAUAUUGCACAAUGGGCGGAAGCCUGAUGCAGCAACGCCGCGUGCGGGAGGACGGCCUUCGGGUUGUAAAACGCUUUCAGCAGGGGCGAAGCUUGUGGUGACGGUACCUGCAGAAGAAGCACCGGCUAACUACGUG